UAAGGGCGCACGGUGGAUGCCUUGGCACUAGAAGCCGAUGAAGGACGUUACUAACGACGAUAUGCUUUGGGGAGCUGUAAGUAAGCUUUGAUCCAGAGAUUUCCGAAUGGGGAAACCCAGCAUGAGUUAUGUCAUGUUAUCGAUAUGUGAAUACAUAGCAUAUCAGAAGGCACACCCGGAGAACUGAAACAUCUUAGUACCCGGAGGAAGAGAAAGAAAAUUCGAUUCCCUUAGUAGCGGCGAGCGAAACGGGAAGAGCCCAAACCAACAAGCUUGCUUGUUGGGGUUGUAGGACACUCUAUACGGAGUUACAAAGGACGACAUUAGACGAAUCAUCUGGAAAGAUGAAUCAAAGAAGGUAAUAAUCCUGUAGUCGAAAAUGUUGUCUCUCUUGAGUGGAUCCUGAGUACGACGGAGCACGUGAA
rnacentral:rRNA from 1 species